GCUUUCUCCACGUCAAGCUUGUCGACUCUUCAUCAGCAAUAGAAGCCGGGUGUUUACACGAUGGACGGGGGAAUUUUGGAGCCAUCACUGUAUUCUGUGAAAGCUAUUGCUAUUCUGGACAACGAUGGAAAUAGACUGAUAACAAAAUAUUAUGAUGAACAGUUUCCAACUGCAAAGGAACAGAAACAAUUUGAAAAGAAUCUGUUUGGAAAAACACACAAAGCAAAUUCUGAAAUCAUCAUGUUCGAGGGCCUUACCUGUGUAUACAAGAGUAACGUAGAUUUAUUCUUCUACGUUGUCGGCAGCUCGCAUGAAAAUGAGCUGAUACUGGCCAGUGUUCUGAAUGCUCUGUAUGACUCCAUCAACCAAAUUCUUCGUAAGAAUGUGGAGAAGCGAUCACUACUGGAGAAUCUUGAUGCAGCCUUCCUCGUUGUGGAUGAAAUUUGUGACGGAGGAAUCGUACUGGACUCGGAUGCCUCCUCCAUAGUUCAGAAGGUGUCCAUCAGGAGUGAGGACACCCCCCUAGGAGAACACACCAUGUCCCAGAUUGAGGAAUGAUUUGAUGCAAUUCAAUAAUAAUCAAGAAUGUUUUACAAAGUGCAAAAGAGCAGAUAAAAUGGUCACUCCUGAAAUGAAGCAGCCAAGUCAUGUGACAUUUUUUUUUUUACUCCAGUGUUACUGUACUGGAACAGUUCCACUUGACAUGGAAAUUAGAUUUUCAAAGCAGGGACUAAAUAUCAAGUGCAUAAAUUGUGUUGUAAUUAACUCAGAAAGCGACUCUGCAAUCACAGAAGGUCGUUUACUGCAAGAAAAAUAAAAGUCAGCCAUUUUUUAGAAAAUGUAGAUCAUGAAAAACAUUUGCAAUUGUUACAUAAUUUAUCUAAAGCUAUAGACAGAUCACACUGAUUCAUGUACAUAUUAUGCAUAUAACUAUAUUGAACAUGUUGCAUUUUUAUGGUUUUAUGGGUUAAUGCAAGUUUUUGUGCAGACUAAAGGGUGAAAGUACUUUAUAUGUGUAUGUGGCAUUGAGAGAGUGUUAGAAAAAUGUUUGUGGUAUUUAUGAAAUCAUAUUUCUAUUCAAUUAAAUCUACUGAAUAUGU
rnacentral:misc_RNA from 1 species